ACGCUCGACACCUACGGGAGACAGCAGUCGGGAAUAUUGCGCAAUGGAGGAAACUCUGACGCAGUGACGCCGCGUAUAGGAAGAAGGUUUUCGGAUUGUAAACUAUUGUCGUUAGGGAAGAAAAAGGACAGUACCUAAGGAGGAAGCUCCGGCUAACUACGUGCCCGCAGCCGCCGGUAAGUACUGAGCGGGCGUGGCAAGGC
rnacentral:rRNA from 1 species